UUCAUGAAAUGUCGAAGUUAACGUAGUGGCACUAAUGAUCGACAAGCUACAAUGAUCGACAAUUUUUUUCUCUAAUUAGAGAAAAUAAGAGUUAUAAUACGAUUUUUUAAUAUGGCUAUACUGUGGCUCAGAAAAUACGCUUCCUGCUGUCAUCCAGUGAUAUUUGAAAGAAAUCCGCCUUUUUUUUACAAAUGGCCAUGUGAGAACUUAGUUCGACUAGUGUUCCUCACAAAAUAACGGCAUUUCUAAGCGGAUUCUGUAAGAACAUGGCUCCAAGAAAAAACUACACUCUCGACCAGAUUGAAAAAGCAGUUGAAGCUGUUAAGAAUGGAGAAAAGAUAGCAAGUGCUGCGCAACGUUUCGGAGUACCAAGAAUUACUCUUCAUGACAAAAUAACACGAAGAACUUCCAUUGGUUGUAGUAUGGGGCCAAGUACUAAAUAAAAUUAAUUAAUUUUAAUAAAUAUGUAACUAUUGUUGAUUUCCCUAAUUUGUACUUAUUUAAUCUUAUCAGAGUGUAUAGUUUUAUCAAAAUAAAACAGUAUUCAAGAUUAAAGCUUAUUUUGGUGAAGAUUUUUAAAGUUUGUAGUCAGUGUUAUUAGACUUGACAAAUUUUAUAAAAACAAUGUAUGAGUACCUAAACAUAAAAGACAAAUAAAUUAAUACUUACUGAA